GGACUUGGUGGAAACAAAUGGAUGAGGCAAUACUGAUGGAUGUUAAUCUUCCAAGAUGUGGAAACAGCAGCUGCAGCCAAAAGGACUUGGUGGAAACAAAUGGAUGAGGCAAUACUGAUGGAUGUUAAUCUUCCAAGAUGUGGAAACAGCAGCUGCAGCCAAAAGGACUUGGUGGAAACAACUGGAGGAGACCAGCCUGAUGGAUGUUACCGCCCCCCUUUCAAGACAUAUCGCAGUAGAUAACCGACACUGAUCAGGUUGAAAAGGAGACUUCAGACGAUGAUGCUGAUGAAGUUUUUCUUCAACAAUGUGAAAAAGAGCUUUUGCAGCCUACAAGAUUUGAUGGAAGGAACUGGAAAAUGCAAUGCUGAUGGAUGUUGACCCUCCAAGAUGUGGAAAAGACCAGCCAAAGCCAGACAGGAAUUGGUGCAAAAAACCUGGAAAAGGCAAGACUGAUGGAUUUGACCUUACCAACAGCAAGACAUAUCACAGUGGAUGCAAUGUUGAUGGACCUUAUCCCCCCCCCCCCCCCCCAUGAUGUGGAAAUGAAGAGUAACAGCCAGACAGGAAUUGGUGGAAACAACUGGAAAAGAUGAGACUGAUGGACGUUAACCUUCCCAAUAGCAAGACAUAUCACUUUGGAUAACUGUCACUGAUCAGUGUGCUUAGAUGAUUUUGUGACAGUACCCUAUAGGAGACUCAGAUAAAGUCAUGUGGAUGUGCUUGACAUUAUGAAUGACAAGGAGCCCUCAGAAAAUUAAAGUAUUGAAGAGGUAUAUCCUUGUGAUCGCAUGUGGAGAAAGACAAAGAUAGAUGACCAUGUAGAAGUCCAGAUUUGCACACACAAGCACAUCCAAUUUACAAUGUUAUAAUCCAAAACAAUUUUUUUGAAACAUUUGUUUUGGAAAUGGGUGUCUGAGUUGUAAGAGGGUAUGGGGUCGCCCACUCAGACACGUGGGUUUUCUCCGGGGGCUCCGGUUUCCUCCCACACUGACCCCAUUCUUUUUCUUUGUGCCAAUUGAAAGUAAAUAUCUUUUAUUAUCUAUUGUUUUGCUCUAAUGUUAUUUUAUGUAUUUUGUUAUAUUUUAUAUUAUAAAAUGUUUAGAUAAAGUAGUUGAAAGCUAGUUGUAAGUAGACCUUGUCGAUACCCUGGGGCAUUACUGGUUGGAACUUCGUGGAUCCUUGGCCGCUACGGUUGCCAGGCUGGCCUGGGGAGGAGAGGUUGAAAACGCAACUAGUUGUAGGCUGCUUUGUCUUUAAUAAUCUGUUUUCAUUUUAUCUAAAAUCAAAAGAUCAUAUAUGUUGCAGAUAUAAUGAUUGUUAAAUAUUAAAUUAGAAUUCCUGGAAUGUACAAAUUCUGUCAGCUACUGUACCAGUAAUAAUUUGUAUAGUCAAUUCCAAUUAUAAGCUUAUUGUGAUGCAUUAUAUACUGACUAAAUCUUCAGUAAAAGUAAUUGAUUAUAAAUUUUGAUGUGAAAUUAUGAUUUGUAUUUAAUAAUGUAAAGUAAUGGGAUUUGAAUGUAUUAA